UAAUUGAUUCCGUGUUAAAAAUUUUUGGAUAACUUUCUGACUUCUUAAUUUAUUUACUAUAUGGAAUGAGUUUUCUAUAU
rnacentral:tRNA from 1 species